GAAGGCAUGCUCCAGUUCUCAGACUAAAGAGAAAGCGUGAGCAAGACACAGAGGUAAACGUGGCAGAGAAGGCCUCAAAUAGCAAACGAGUGUGCAUGGCUGACCCACACAGGUUCUGCGUUUUCCAGACUUCACAAAGCACAGGACAGAGAUUGCUGUACCCAGAUGUGGAGUCUCUGGAGUGGCUGCAGUGCCAAACAUGCAAGGGCUGGCUGCACAAAGAUUGUGCAGGAAAAUGCCACACACUACAAAAAAAUGAGCCAUUCAACUGUGGAUGUGCAGUUUCCAGUGACAGGACAAGGCACAACACCAUUUUCUUGUUAAUGUAGUCUUUGGUGUCACAUAAGAAUGACAGAAGCAAAAAGCAGCAAAAGUUGAACAUUUUGCUGGUGCACUGCACUUCUUUAAGAAAAUCUGAAUG